GUUGAACGCUGGCGGCAGGCCUAACACAUGCAAGUCGAGCGGAUGAAGGGAGCUUGCUCCUGGAUUACGCGGCGGACGGGUGAGUAAUGCCUACGAAUCUGCCUGGUCGUGGGGGAUAACGUCCGUAAACGGGCGCUAAUCCCGCAUACGUCCUGAGGGAGAAAGUGAGGGAUCUUCGGACCUCACGCUAUCAGAUGACCCUAGGUCGGAUUAGCUAGUCGGGGGGGUAAAGGCCUAACAAGGCGACGAUCCGUAACUGGUCUGAGAGGAUGACCAGUCACACUGGAACUGAGACACGGUCCAGACUCCUGCGGGAGGCAGCAGUGGGGAAUAUUGGACAAUGGGCGAAAGCCUGAUCCAGCCAUGCCGCGUGUGUGAAGAAGGUCUUCGGAUUGUAAAGCACUUUAAGUUGGGAGGAAGGGCAGUAAGUUAAUACCUUGCUGUUUUGACGUUACCAACAGAAUAAGCACCGGCUAACUUCGUG
rnacentral:rRNA from 1 species